CACGCAGGCGGUCUGCUAAGUUCGGAGUGACAGUCACCAGCUUAACUGGUGGAGGACUUUGAAAACUGGCGGACUUGAGAGCGAGAGAGGGACAUGGAAUUCCGGGUGGAGCGGUGAAAUGCGUAGAUAUCCGGAGGAACACCAAAGGCGAAGGCAGUGUCCUGGCUCGUAUCUGACGCUCAGGUGCGAAAGCUAGGGGAGCGAACGGGAUUAGAUACCCCGGUAGUCCUAGCCGUAAACGAUGACCACUAGGUGUGGGAGGUAUCGACCCCUUCCGUGCCGCAGUUAACACAGUAAGUGGUCCGCCUGGGGAGUACGGUCGCAAGACUAAA
rnacentral:rRNA from 1 species